GUCUAACCUCCACUAUGUAGACAGGAGUUAACAUCUGAUUCCAGGACUGUGGUUAACGGGGGGUCCUAACCUCCACUAUGUAGACAGGAGUUAACAUCUGAUUCCAGGACUGUGGUUAACGGGGGUCCUAACCUCCACUAUGUAGACAGGAGUUAACAUCUGAUUCCAGGACUGUGGUUAACGGGGGUCCUAACCUCCACUAUGUAGAGACAGGAGUUAACAUCUGAUUCCAGGACUGUGGUUAACGGGGGGUCCUAACCUCCACUAUGUAGAGACAGGAGUUAACAUCUGAUUCCAGGACUGUGGUUAACGGGGGGGGUCCCUAACCUCCACUAUGUAGAGACAGGAGUUAACAUCUGAUUCCAGGACUGUGGUUAACGGGGGUCUAACCUCCACUAUGUAGAGACAGGAGUUAACAUCUGAUUCCAGGACUGUGGUUAACGGGGGUCUAACCUCCACUAUGUAGACAGGAGUUAACAUCUGAUUCCAGGACUGUGGUUAACAGGGGGGGGUCCUAACCUCCACUAUGUAGAGACAGGAGUUAACAUCUGAUUCCAGGACUGUGGUUAACGGGGGUCCCUAACCUCCACUAUGUAGAGACAGGAGUUAACAUCUGAUUCCAGGACUGUGGUUAACGGGGGUCCUAACCUCCACUAUGUAGAGACAGGAGUUAACAUCUGAUUCCAGGACUGUGGUUAACGGGGGAUAAAUGUUGGUCUUUAAUGUCACUGUCGUAAUCAUCUUUUCUAUUGUUAUUACUACACUCUAAUCACUGUUCAUAUCAGCUGUCUGUCACUACACAGCCUGUCUGUCGUUGACCUGUCCUAGACUGUCUGUCUGGAACGGACCUGUCCUAGACUACACAACCUGUCUGUCUGUCUGGAACUGACCUGUCCUAGACUACACAACCUGUCUGUCUGUCUGUCUGGAACUGACCUGUCCUAGACUACACAACCUGUCUGUCUGUCACUGACCUGUCCUAGACUACACAACCUGUCUGUCUGUCUGUCUGGAACUGACCUGUCCUAGACUACACAACCUGUCUGUCUGUCACUGACCUGUCCUAGACUACACAACCUGUCUGUCUGUCUGUCUGGAACUGACCUGUCCUAGACUACACAACCUGUCUGUCUGUCUGGAACUGACCUGUCCUAGACUACACAACCUGUCUGUCUGUCUGGAACUGACCUGUCCUAGACUACACAACCUGUCUGUCUGUCUGUCUGUAACUGACCUGUCCUAGACAGGCCACCGUUGGGACACUUUACUAACCAACAGGGACGGCAGGACACCUGACAGACAAACUGUUGUUGUUUACGACUUGUCUUAUUGACUGUUAAAUGGAAAUUCAUUUUAACGCCUUUCUGUGUUUCUGGACCGUUUUAUAAGCUAAACCAUGUAGACUGGACCAGCAGACUGUUACCCUGUAGACUGGACCACCAGACUGUUACCCUGUAGACUGGACCACCAGACUGUUACCCUGUAGACUGGACCAGCAGACUGUUACCCUGUAGACUGGACCACCAGACUGUUACCCUGUAGACUGGACCACCAGACUGUUACCCUGUAGACUGGACCACCAGACUGUUACCCUGUAGACUGGACCAGCAGACUGUUACCCUGUAGACUGGACCAGCAGACUGUUACCCUG
rnacentral:lncRNA from 1 species